GUCAUAAUCAUAAGCCUUUGGUAGAGGCCAAUAACAAAGAAAUAGAGAUUGCUACAAAAGCUGAAAUUGAGGAGGUUAUUAAUGUCAAAGAUGAAAAUUCUCAAGUUUCAUCAAAGAGUGCAGUUGUUUCUCUUUCUCCUCCUGUUUCAUCACGUCGAUUGGAGGAUACUGAAUUAGCACCAUUGUGUUUUUGUCCCAAAGGAACUUGGCAUGCAAUUUUGGGUAUCUUCAUUUUGGGUUGCAUUGUGACAGUAAUCCUGUUUUUUGUUGAUGUCAUUCAUAAUCGUUUGUUUAUCACGGGAUGAACACGAUUAUUAGUAGUCUCGUUCAUCUUUUUCUUAGCUUGAUGUUUCGAGAAGUGUCUUUGAUGUUGCU